UUCCCCUUCCCAGCCCCCCCCCACCCCCCGACACCUCCCGUCCGGAGCCGCCCUGCCUCCUAGGCUCCUACACCUCCCAUCCGGCGGCGCACCGCCUCCUUCUCCUACCAUCCGAAGCCGCCCCGCCUCCUACUCCUCCCGUCCGGCGCCGACCCGCAACGCCGCCCAGCAACGGCCCCGGCCCCGCCCCGCUCCAGCCAUGGCCACUGCCCCCGCCAUGUGCUCGCUGGCAUCAAUGGCCCCCGCCUGACCCCUCACCGCCGAUGGCCUAGAUCCUCCCCAAACCGGCCGGAUCCGAGGCUCUCUGGCUUCAAUGUGUGGCUUUGUCGCGCGGGUGGGCAGGGGGAGAGGCAUGUGCGCCACCGCAAGUUGGACGUUGUGGUGCCCCUGACCUCAACCUCCGCCUCGUUCCUCCACCUUCAGGCCAGAUCCGCCGCCACACAAUGGAUCCAGCUCCCCUGCCCCUAUUUCUCCUCGCCGGGCAAGGUGCCAGGGCUUCUCCCUAGCCGGCCAUCCUCUGUUCCCCUUUUCCUCUUUCCCCCUUCGCCGCUGGAGCAGCACGGGCGCGGCGGUGCAGUGCACUAUGACUCCACGUGCAGUGCUCUACGACUCCACAUGCAGUGCAGAUCGAUUAUUGCUCGCCUACCGUUCAAUCGUAGUAGAUCCCAGCCAGGAGUCGUCGCCCUACCUGUUGUAUCCUCUAAUUAACUCUGUAGUUCGCUUUGUAUGAUCGAUGGCUGUUUGGCAAGAAGUGCAGUUCCCACCUCCUCCCCCGACGGCACUCCUUGUGGCCUCAGCUGGCUUCCCCACCCUCCUCUUUCCCUCCCGGCACCGUCCUGCAGUUCUCUCCAUGUGCGGAUGCAGCCCAAAACCACGCGCAUGCAGCUCGCUAUCGCGACGCGUAAGGCGCACACUCUCGCGUGGGAGCUUGCGUGCAUGCUUGGCGGGCGGGCGUGAUGGAUGGAUCACUAGCUAGCUAGCUUGGCUUUGCUUUCUGAACCUCAUGAAUCCAUCGUUGAUGCACUUUGUGCGUUCUGCAGGUUGGAUAACGGAGCACUGACUUCAAGGCGUGUGUGGUGGAGAGCGGCAAGAAAGAAGCAGAUCCGAUGCAUGCAUGGGGGUGAAGUGCCCGGUGGUGUGCGACGAGGCCGUGGUGCAGCAGCUCCUCGCUCUCAAGUACCCCGACACGGCCACGCGCUUCGACCGUUUCCUCCUGAAGUCGUACCUCAAGAACAACGACUCGGCGAAGUGGUGCCCGAGCAUCCCGCACUGCGGCCGCGCUACACCGAGGUGGAGUGCCCCUGCGGCCUAGGGCUACAUCGUUGUCUGUGUUUUGCGUGGUAGCCGGCUUGGGGCCUAUGUUAUUGUACAAUGUAAAAAUAGCAUGAAAAUGAAGUGCACUUCUGUUGUAUCCAAGUGCAAAAACAAAAUUGGGAGAAAGUAAAUUGGAAAGGGCUGACUUUUAAUGCA